GAACGCACAUUGCCGGUCGACUCUUCGGAGGAGACCACAUCUGCCUCAGCGUCG
rnacentral:rRNA from 1 species